rnacentral:rRNA from 1 species
CCUACGGGUGGCUGCAGUGGGGAAUAUUGGACAAUGGGGGGAACCCUGAUCCAGCCAUGCCGCGUGUGUGAAGAAGGCCCUCGGGUUGUAAAGCACUUUCAGUGAGGAAGAACGCCUGGUGGUUAAUACCCAUCAGGAAAGACAUCACUCACAGAAGAAGCACCGGCUAACUCCGUGCCAGCAGCCGCGGUAAUACGGAGGGUGCGAGCGUUAAUCGGAAUUACUGGGCGUAAAGCGCGCGUAGGUGGCUUGAUAAGCCGGUUGUGAAAGCCCCGGGCUCAACCUGGGAACGGCAUCCGGAACUGUCAAGCUAGAGUGCAGGAGAGGAAGGUAGAAUUCCCGGUGUAGCGGUGAAAUGCGUAGAGAUCGGGAGGAAUACCAGUGGCGAAGGCGGCAUUCUGGACUGACACUGACACUGAGGUGCGAAAGCGUGGGUAGCAAACAGGAUUAGAUACCCCAGUAGUC